GAUGAACGCUGGCGGCGUGCCUAAUACAUGCAAGUCGAGCGAACAGAUGAGGAGCUUGCUCCUCUGACGUUAGCGGCGGACGGGUGAGUAACACGUGGAUAACCUACCUAUAAGACUGGGAUAACUUCGGGAAACCGGAGCUAAUACCGGAUAAUAUAUUGAACCGCAUGGUUCAAUAGUGAAAGACGGUUUUGCUGUCACUUAUAGAUGGAUCCGCGCCGCAUUAGCUAGUUGGUAAGGUGACGGCUUACCAAGGCGACGAUGCGUAGCCGACCUGAGAGGGUGAUCGGCCACACUGGAACUGAGACACGGUCCAGACUCCUACAGGAGGCAGCAGUAGGGAAUCUUCCGCAAUGGGCGAGAGCCUGACGGAGCAACGCCGCGUGAGUGAUGAAGGUCUUCGGAUCGUAAAACUCUGUUAUUAGGGAAGAACAAAUGUGUAAGUAACUAUGCACGUCUUGACGGUACCUAAUCAGAAAGCCCCGGCUAACUCCGUG
rnacentral:rRNA from 1 species